AAGAUAAUGAUAUAAUAUCGAUUGUGAUAGUUGAGACGGUAGCUGUCAACUGCGAAAGGAUGGUGGUGCAUAUGUACCCAAGACUUGAGAAAGGACAGCUGUUCCAUGACGGUAUACGAAGCAUUGAGCUUAGUAAUCCAAUUCGGGACUUUACUGAUUACAUUAAUCAGUUUAU
rnacentral:sRNA from 1 species